rnacentral:rRNA from 1 species
GUGUCAGCCGCCGCGGUAGGACAGAGGGUGCAAACGUUGUUCGGAAUUACUGGGCGUAAAGCGUGUGUAGGCGGCUAGGUAAGUCGGAUGUGAAAGCCCUGGGCUCAACCCAGGAAGUGCACUCGAUACUGCUUAGCUCGAGUACCGGAGAGGUUGGUGGAAUUCUCGGUGUAGAGGUGAAAUUCGUAGAUAUCGAGAGGAACACCGGUGGCGAAAGCGGCCAACUGGACGAGUACUGACGCUGAGACACGAAAGCGUGGGGAGCAAACAGGAUUAGAUACCCUGGUAGUCCACGCCGUAAACGAUGGGUGCUAGGUGUCACGGGCUUUGACUCCUGUGGUGCCGCAGCAAACGCAUUAAGCACCCCGCCUGGGAAGUACGGCCGCAAGGCUAAA